GGACUGUGACUCAGUGGCAAAGCGCUUGCCUAGCAUGCAUGAGGCACUGUGUUCGAUUCUCAGCACCA
rnacentral:tRNA from 1 species